rnacentral:rRNA from 1 species
GAUGAACGCUGGCGGCGUGCUUAACACAUGCAAGUCGAACGGAAAGGCCUCUGCUUGCAGGGGUACUCGAGUGGCGAACGGGUGAGUAACACGUGGGUGAUCUGCCCUGCACUUCGGGAUAAGCCUGGGAAACUGGGUCUAAUACCGGAUAGGACAAUGGUUUGGAUGCUGUUGUGGAAAGUUUUUCGGUGUGGGAUGAGCUCGCGGCCUAUCAGCUUGUUGGUGGGGUAAUGGCCUACCAAGGCGUCGACGGGUAGCCGGCCUGAGAGGGUGUACGGCCACAUUGGGACUGAGAUACGGCCCAGACUCCUACGGGAGGCAGCAGUGGGGAAUAUUGCACAAUGGGCGCAAGCCUGAUGCAGCGACGCCGCGUGGGGGAUGACGGCCUUCGGGUUGUAAACUCCUUUCGCUAGGGACGAAGCGUUUUUGUGACGGUACCUGGAGAAGAAGCACCGGCUAACUAUGUG